rnacentral:rRNA from 1 species
GACGAACGCUGGCGGCGUGCUUAACACAUGCAAGUCGAGCGAACUUUUGGGAGCUUUCUCCCCUAAGUUAGUGGCGGACGGGUGAGUAACACGUGGGUAACCUGCCUGUAAGUCUGGGAUAACUUCGGGAAACCGGAGCUAAUACCGGAUAACAUCGAAGACCACAUGGCCUUGAAUUAAAAGGUGGCUUUUAGCUACCACUUACAGCUGGACCCGCGGCGGAUUGGCUAGUUGGUGGGGUAACGGAUCACGAAGGCGACGAUGCGUAGCCGACCUGAGAGGAUGAUCGGCCACACUGGGACUGAGACCCGGCACAGACGCAUACGGGAGGCAGCAGUAGGGAAUCUUCCGCAAGGGACGAAAGUCUGACGGAGCAACGCCGCGUGAGCGAGGAGGGCCGUCGGGUCGUAAAGCUCUGUUGUUGGGGAAGAAAAAGUUUCGUUCGAAUAGGGCGGUGGAUUGACGGUACCGGACAAGAAAGCCACGGCUAACUACGUG